AGACCCGAAACCCGGUGAUCUAGCCAUGGGCAGGUUGAAGGUUGGGUAACACUAACUGGAGGACCGAACCGACUAAUGUUGAAAAAUUAGCGGAUGACCUGUGGCUGGGGGUGAAAGGCCAAUCAAACCGGGAGAUAGCUGGUUCUCCCCGAAAGCUAUUUAGGUAGCGCCUCGUGAAUUCAUCUCCGGGGGUAGAGCACUGUUUCGGCCAGGGGGCCAUCCCGGCUUACCAACCCGAUGCAAACUGCGAAUACCGGAGAAUGUUAUCACGGGAGACACACGGCGGGUGCUAACGUCCGUCGUGAAGAGGGAAACAACCCAGACCGCCAGCUAAGGUCCCAAAGUCAUGGUUAAGUGGGAAACGAUGUGGGAAGGCCCAGACAGCCAGGAUGUUGGCUUAGAAGCAGCCAUCAUUUAAAGAAAGCGUAAUAGCUCACUGGUCGAGUCGGCCUGCGCGGAAGAUGUAACGGGGCUAAACCAUGCACCGAAGCUGCGGCAGCGACACUGUGUGUUGUUGGGUAGGGGAGCGUUCUGUAAGCCUGCGAAGGUGGCCUGUGAGGGUUGCUGGAGGUAUCAGAAGUGCGAAUGCUGACAUAAGUAACGAUAAUGCGGGUGAAAAACCCGCACGCCGGAAGACCAAGGGUUCCUGUCCAACGUUAAUCGGGGCAGGGUGAGUCGACCCCUAAGGCGAGGCCGAAAGGCGUAGUCGAUGGGAAACGGGUUAAUAUUCC
rnacentral:rRNA from 1 species